rnacentral:rRNA from 1 species
AGAGUUUGAUCCUGGCUCGGGAUGAACGCUAGCGGCAGGCCUAACACAUGCAAGUCGAACGGUAACGGGUGUAGCAAUACAUGCCGACGAGUGGCGCACGGGUGAGUAACGCGUAUGCAACCUACCUCUGACAGGGGGAUAGCCCCGGGAAACCGGGAAUAAUACCGCAUAUAUUCAUGAGAUGGCAUCGUUUCAUGAAGAAAACUACGGUGGUCAGAGAUGGGCAUGCGUGCCAUUAGCUAGUUGGUAGGGUAACGGCCUACCAAGGCUACGAUGGCUAGGGGGUCUAAAAGGAUGGUCCCCCACACUGGUACUGAGACACGGACCAGACUCCUACGGGAGGCAGCAGUGAGGAAUAUUGGGCAAUGGGCGCAAGCCUGACCCAGCCAAGCCGCGUGCAGGAAGACGGCCCUAUGGGUUGUAAACUGCUUUUAUAUGGGAAGAACGCCAGUUUCGUGAAAUUGGGUGACGGUACUGUAUGAAUAAGCAUCGGCUAACUCCGUGCCAGCAGCCGCGGUAAUACGGAGGAUGCAGGCGUUAUCCGGAUUUAUUAGGUUUAAAGGGUGCGUAGGCGGGAUUAUAAGUCAGUGGUGAAAGAUUGCCGCUUAACGGUAAAAUUGCCAUAGAUACUGUAGUCCUUGAGUGUAGAUGAGGUAGGCGGAAUGUGUCAAGUAGCGGUGAAAUGCAUAGAUAUGACACAGAACACCGAUUGCGUAGGCAGCUUACUAAGCUACAACUGACGCUGAGGCACGAAAGCGUGGGGAUCAAACAGGAUUAGAUACCCUGGUAGUCCACGCCGUAAACUAUGAUAACUGGUUGUUGGCGAUAGACAGUCAGCGACUGAGUGAAAGCAUAAGUUAUCCACCUGGGGAGUACGACGGCAACGUUGAAACUCAAAGGAAUUGACGGGGGCCCGCACAAGCGGAGGAACAUGUGGUUUAAUUCGAUGAUACGCGAGGAACCUUACCUGGACUUGAACGCAGAGAGACGGUAGUGGAAACAUUACUUCCCAGCAAUGGGCUGUUUGCGAGGUGCUGCAUGGUUGUCGUCAGCUCGUGCCGUGAGGUGUCGGAUUAAGUUCCAUAACGAGCGCAACCCUUAUCGUUAGUUGCCAGCGGGUCAUGCCGGGGACUCUAACGAAACUGCCAGUGUAAACUGAGAGGAAGGUGGGGAUGACGUCAAAUCAGCACGGCCCUUACGUCCAGGGCUACACACGUGUUACAAUGGCCGGUACAGUGGGCAGCUAUGCCGCGAGGCAAUGCUAAUCUCCAAAGCCGGUCUCAGUUCGGAUCGAAGUCUGCAACUCGACUUCGUGAAGCUGGAUUCGCUAGUAAUCGUAUAUCAGCAAUGAUACGGUGAAUACGUUCCCGGGCCUUGUACACACCGCCCGUCAAGCCAUGGGAGCUUGGGGUACCUGAAGUCUGUAACCGCAAGGAGCGGCCUAGGGUAAAACAGAUGACUGGGGCUAAGUCGUAACAAGGUA